GAGCUCUGAUAUGGCACGUCGUGUCUACCUCUCUGCCAAGGGCUGAAACCAUCCCUCGCUUUCGACUUCUUCAGUUUAUAAUCACGCCUGAAGUGAACAUUCAGUCAUUUCACCUGUUCAGACUCAUUUCAGACAGGCUUCUAUUGUGUUUUUAAUUCCCAGCUCUGUUGGCGGCAGCGUGUGUGUGAGGGAAGGAGCGUGUGGACUAUGCUCACUUCAGUCAACUGAAGGAGGGGGAGUGGAGGAAUUGACACUGUGGAGAGAGAACUCCACAACGGGAAACUGAUCGUACAGGACAAAUCUAAAGAUGCAAAGAGCCGUCACAGCAGCUGUGACCCAGUCCACAACCACACAGAGCACCACAGUCGUCACCAAGUCUAGAGAACAAAUCCUCACGCAGAGCUCAGGAGCCAUGAUAGCUGUAAUUGUCAUUGGUAUAAUCAUCAUUCUCACAUUUUUGCUGAUAGUCCUCAAGACAUACAACAGGAGGACCCAUGCGAACAGGAUGCUGGCUGGAGGCUCCAAUAAACCACGAAAGAAGGUGUCCUCAACUACCACAAACACAAACCUGGCCAUGAGCAACGUGGGUGUAAGCUCAGUCUCUGGAAGCUUUGUUCAGUCGAACGCGUCUUCAGAGAACGGGUACAGCAUUCCUCGGGCAAACGUGGAUCGGAGUAAUGGGGAGCAUUUCAGCACCAACAGCGGCUCAACUAUUGUGACAAUACAUGACAUGCCAUCAGUAGAUAACACAUAG
ensembl:lncRNA